rnacentral:misc_RNA from 1 species
UACGUAGGGUGCGAGCGUUAUCCGGAAUCAUUGGGCGUAAAGAGCUCGUAGGCGGUUCAGCAAGUCGGCUGUGAAAGUCCGGGGCUCAACCUCGGAAUUGCAGUCGAUACUGCUGUGACUCGAGUCCGGUAGAGGAGAAUGGAAUUCUCGGUGUAGCGGUGAAAUGCGCAGUGAUCGGGAGGAACACCAGUGGCGAAGGCGGUUCUCUGGGCCGGCACUGACGCUGAGGAGCGAACGCGUGGGGAGCAAACAGG